rnacentral:rRNA from 1 species
AUACGUAGGUGGCGAGCGUUGUCCGGAAUUACUGGGCGUAAAGGAUGCGUAGGUGGAUACUUAAGUGGGAUGUGAAAUCCCCGGGCUCAACCCGGGAACUGCAUUCCAAACUGGGUAUCUAGAGUGCAGGAGAGGAAAGCGGAAUUCCUAGUGUAGCGGUGAAAUGCGUAGAUAUUAGGAGGAACACCAGUGGCGAAGGCGGCUUUCUGGACUGUAACUGACACUGAGGCAUGAAAGCGUGGGUAGCAAACAGGAUUAGAUACCCUGGUAGUCCACGCCGUAAACGAUGGGUACUAGGUGUAGGAGGUAUCGACCCCUUCUGUGCCGUCGUUAACACAAUAAGUACCCCGCCUGGGGAGUACGGUCGCAAGACUAAAACUCAAAGGAAUUGACGGAG